rnacentral:rRNA from 1 species
AUUGAACGCUGGCGGCAUGCUUUACACAUGCAAGUCGAACGGCAGCGCGGGCUUCGGCCUGGCGGCGAGUGGCGAACGGGUGAGUAAUACAUCGGAACGUGCCCAGUAGUGGGGGAUAGCUCGGCGAAAGCCGGAUUAAUACCGCAUACGACCUGAGGGUGAAAGCGGGGGAUCUUCGGACCUCGCGCUAUUGGAGCGGCCGAUGGCAGAUUAGCUAGUUGGUGGGGUAAAGGCCUACCAAGGCGACGAUCUGUAACUGGUCUGAGAGGACGACCAGCCACACUGGGACUGAGACACGGCCCAGACUCCUACGGGAGGCAGCAGUGGGGAAUUUUGGACAAUGGGCGAAAGCCUGAUCCAGCAAUGCCGCGUGUGUGAUGAAGGCCUUCGGGCUGUAAAGCACUUUUGGCGGGAACGAAAAGGACUGUGCCAAUACCACGGUUCGAUGACGGUACCCGCAGAAUAAGCACCGGCUAACUACGUG